AUUGAACGCUAGCGGGAUGCUUUACACAUGCAAGUCGAACGGCAGCGCGGACUUCGGUCUGGCGGCGAGUGGCGAACGGGUGAGUAAUGUAUCGGAACGUGCCCAGUAGCGGGGGAUAACUACGCGAAAGCGUAGCUAAUACCGCAUACGCCCUACGGGGGAAAGCAGGGGAUCGUAAGACCUUGCACUAUUGGAGCGGCCGAUAUCGGAUUAGCUAGUUGGUGAGGUAACGGCUCACCAAGGCGACGAUCCGUAGCUGGUUUGAGAGGACGACCAGCCACACUGGGACUGAGACACGGCCCAGACUCCUACGGGAGGCAGCAGUGGGGAAUUUUGGACAAUGGGGGCAACCCUGAUCCAGCCAUCCCGCGUGUGCGAUGUAGGCCUUCGGGUUGUAAAGCACUUUUGGCAGGAAAGAAACGUCGCGGGCUAAUACCCCGUGGAACUGACGGUACCUGCAGAAUAAGCACCGGCUAACUACGUG
rnacentral:rRNA from 1 species